GCCCACGGCGGAACUGGUAGACGCGCUACGUUCAGGUCGUAGUGUCUCUCUACCGACAUGGGGUUCGAGUCCCUCCGUGGCA
rnacentral:tRNA from 1 species